UACCAGCACCCCGAGUGGUCGGGACGAUUAUUGGGCCUAAAGCAUCCGUAGCCGGCCUUACAAGUCCUCCGUUAAAUCCAGCUGCUUAACAGAUGGGCUGCGGAGGAUACUAUAGAGCUAGGAGGCGGGAGAGGCAAGCGGUACUCGAUGGGUAGGGGUAAAAUCCGUUGAUCCAUUGAAGACCACCAGUGGCGAAGGCGGCUUGCCAGAACGCGCUCGACGGUGAGGGAUGAAAGCUGGGGGAGCAAACCGG
rnacentral:rRNA from 1 species